UGAGGAAUAUUGCGCAAUGGGGGAAACCCUGACGCAGCGACGCCGCGUGAGUGAUGAAGGCCUUCGGGUUGUAAAGCUCUGUCAGAGGGAAGAAAGGGGAUAUGGCUAAUAUCCAUGUCCAUUGACGGUACCCUCAGAGGAAGCACCGGCUAACUCCGUGCCAGCAGCCGCGGUAAUACGGAGGGUGCGAGCGUUGUUCGGAAUUAUUGGGCGUAAAGCGCGUGUAGGCGGUUUUUUAAGUCUGAUGUGAAAGCCCCGGGCUCAACCUGGGAAGUGCAUUGGAAACUGGAAGACUUGAAUACGGGAGAGGGUAGUGGAAUUCCUAGUGUAGGAGUGAAAUCCGUAGAUAUUAGGAGGAACACCGGUGGCGAAGGCGACUUUCUGGCCCUAUACUGACGCUGAGACGCGAAAGCGUGGGUAGCAAACA
rnacentral:rRNA from 1 species